UACGAAGGGGGCUAGCGUUGCUCGGAAUCACUGGGCGUAAAGGUGCGUAGGCGGGUCUUUAAGUCAGGGGUGAAAUCCUGGAGCUCAACGUCCAGAACUGCCUUUGAUACUGAGGAUCUUGAGUUCGGGAGAGGUGAGUGGAACUGCGAGUGUAGAGGUGAAAUUCGUAGAUAUUCGCAAGAACACCAGUGGCGAAGGCGGCUCACUGGCCCGAUACUGACGCUGAGGCACGAAAGCGUGGGGAGCAA
rnacentral:rRNA from 1 species